rnacentral:rRNA from 1 species
GACUGUAUAAUAGUAAGAGU